rnacentral:rRNA from 1 species
GAUGAACGCUGGCGGCGUGCUUAAUACAUGCAAGUCGAACGGAGACUGUAGCAAUACUGUCUUAGUGGCGAACGGGUGAGUAACGCGUUGGUGACCUGCCCCGAAGAGGGGGAUAACAGUCCGAAAGGAUUGCUAAUACCCCAUGUGGUCGUUUGGAUUAGAUGCCUUAUGACUAAACGGAUUUAUUCGCUUCGGGAGGGGCCUGCGUCCCAUCAGCUAGUUGGUGAGGUAAUAGCUUACCAAGGCGAUGACGGGUAGGGGACCUGAGAGGGUGGCCCCCCACAAUGGAACUGAAACACGGUCCAUACACCUACGGGUGGCAGCAGUAGGGAAUAUUGGUAAUCUGGGAAACCGGAACCAGCAACGCCGCGUGCGCGAUGACGGCCUUGGGUUGUAAAGCGCUUUUUAAAGGGAUGAGGAAGGACAGUACCUUUAGAAUAAGCCUCGGCUAACUACCGUG